AGCCUCGUCGCCAAGUUGGUAAGGCACAGGACUUUGACUCCUGCACUCGCUGGUUCGAGUCCAGCCGGGGCUG
rnacentral:tRNA from 1 species